GAUGAACGCUAGCGACAGGCCUAACACAUGCAAGUCGAGGGGCAGCACGAUUGAAGUUUACUUUAAUUGGUGGCGACCGGCGCACGGGUGCGUAACACGUAUGCAAUCUACCUGUAAGUGGGGAAUAACCCGGAGAAAUCCGGACUAAUACCGCAUAAUACUAAGACACCGCAUGGUAUUUUAGUUAAACAUUUAUGGCUUACAGAUGAGCAUGCGCAUGAUUAGCUAGUUGGUAAGGUAACGGCUUACCAAGGCAACGAUCAUUAGGGGUUCUGAGAGGAAGGUCCCCCACACUGGUACUGAGACACGGACCAGACUCCUACGGGAGGCAGCAGUGAGGAAUAUUGGUCAAUGGACGCAAGUCUGAACCAGCCAAGUCGCGUGAAGGAUGACUGCCCUAUGGGUUGUAAACUUCUUUUGUACAGGAAUAAAACGUCUUACGUGUAAGAUUUUGUAUGUACUGUACGAAUAAGCAUCGGCUAACUCCGUGCCAGCCGCCGCCGUAACAC
rnacentral:rRNA from 1 species